GCCUGACUAGCUCGGUUGGUAAAGCAUGCGACUCUUAAUCUCAGGGUCAUAGGUUCGAGCCCCACACUGGGCG